rnacentral:rRNA from 1 species
UUCUGGUUGAUCCCGCCAGAGGUCACUGCUAUCGGUGUCCGAUUAAGCCAUGCGAGUCGAGAGGUGUAAGACCUCGGCAGACUGCUCAGUAACACGUGGAUAACCUGCCCAAGGGUCCGGGAUAACCCCGGGAAACUGGGGAUAAUACCGGAUGGGUCACCAGUGCUGGAAUGCUUGGUGGUCGAAAGGUGACGCCUUUGGAUGGGUCUGCGGCGGAUUAGGUUGACGCCGGUGUAACGUACCGGCGUGCCUGUAAUCCGUACGGGUUGUGGGAGCAAGAGCCCGGAGAUGGAUUCUGAGACACGAAUCCAGGCCCUACGGGGCGCAGCAGGCGCGAAAACUCUACAAUGCAGGCAACUGCGAUAGGGGGACAUCGAGUGGCAUCCACCUUGGGUGUCUGUCCAACCGUCUAAAAAACGGUUGUUAGCAAGGGCCGGGCAAGACCGGUGCCAGCCGCCGCGGUAAUACCGGCGGCUCGAGUGGUGGCCGAUAUUAUUGAGUCUAAAGGGUCCGUAGCCGGCUUUGCAAGUCCCCUGGGAAAUCCGGCGGCUUAACCGUUGGGCUUUCAUGGGAUACUACAUUGCUUGGGACUGGGAGAGGUAGGAGGUACUCGGGGGGUAGGGGUGAAAUCCUGUAAUCCUCCGGGGACCACCGGUGGCGAAGGCGUCCUACCAGAACAGGUCCGACGGUGAGGGACGAAAGCUAGGGGCACGAACCGGAUUAGAUACCCGGGUAGUCCUAGCCGUAAACGAUGCCCGCUAGGUGUCACGACGGUCGUGAAUCGUCGUGGUGCCGUAGGGAAGCCGCGAAGCGGGCCACUUGGGAAGUACGGCCGCAAGGCUGAAACUUAAAGGAAUUGGCGGG